rnacentral:rRNA from 1 species
UACGUAGGGUGCGAGCGUUAAUCGGAAUUACUGGGCGUAAAGCGUGCGCAGGCGGUUUUGUAAGCCAGAUGUGAAAGCCCCGGGCUUAACCUGGGAAUGGCAUUUGGGACUGCAAGGCUGGAGUGUGGCAGAGGAGACUGGAAUUCCUGGUGUAGCAGUGAAAUGCGUAGAUAUCGGGAGGAACACCAGUGGCGAAGGCGGAGACCUGGGCCAAUACUGACGCUGAGGUGCGAAAGCGUGGGGAGCAAACAGG